rnacentral:rRNA from 1 species
AAACCGUUCAGGGGUAAACCUGAGAAACCCAAAAGAUCGAAUGGGGAGAUUCAUCGUCGACGGCGUUUCGGCUACCGUUGGCGCGCGAUGCUCCGGACGGUUCCAUUAACUGGUUCCGUUAGCGAGGGCACGCCGCCAUCGGAUCGAACAUUCCGGCGUCGUAGUCGUGCACUUCUCCCCUAGUAGGACGUCGCGACCCGUUGUGUGUCGGUCUACGGCCCGAGCGGGCGCCUGUCGCGUCGUUUCGGCGCACGCGGCAGACCCUCGGUCGCCCGGCCGGCUGCACGACGGUACACCAACGGUAUCGGGCCGCAACCAAUCCAUUCUCUCUCCGAGAGAAUGCGUGUGCGUCCAUCCCGCCGCAAGCUCGGUCAGUUCUUACCCUGGGAGGUACGGACCAAGUGCCGUCCCCGGGCCUGGCCAGCUGUUAGCAGUGCGGUGUCCUCGGACUGGCCAAACCUUCGAUUACCGGUCGGCGACGCUAUUGCUUUGGGUACUCUCAGGACCCGUCUUGAAACACGGACCAAGGAGUCUAACAUGUGCGCGAGUCAUUGGGAUGCAUAAACCUAAAGGCGAAAUGAAAGUGAAAGUCGGCCUUCGCGCCGAUCGAGGGAGGAUGGGCCGCGUAACCAUGCGGCCCCGCACUCCCGGGGCGUCUCGUUCUCAUUGCGAGAAGAGGCGCACCUAGAGCGUACACGUUGGGACCCGAAAGAUGGUGAACUAUGCCUGGUCAGGACGAAGUCAGGGGAAACCCUGAUGGAGGUCCGUAGCGAUUCUGACGUGCAAAUCGAUCGUCGGAACUGGGUAUAGGGGCGAAAGACUAAUCGAA